CUUGCUUCUCUUGAGAGCGGCGGACGGGUGAGUAAUGCCUAGGAAUCUGCCUGGUAGUGGGGGAUAACGUCCGGAAACGGACGCUAAUACCGCAUACGUCCUACGGGAGAAAGCAGGGGACCUUCGGGCCUUGCGCUAUCAGAUGAGCCUAGGUCGGAUUAGCUAGUUGGUGGGGUAAUGGCUCACCAAGGCGACGAUCCGUAACUGGUCUGAGAGGAUGAUCAGUCACACUGGAACUGAGACACGGUCCAGACUCCUACGGGAGGCAACAGUGGGGAAUAUUGGACAAUGGGCGAAAGCCUGAUCCAGCCAUGCCGCGUGUGUGAAGAAGGUCUUCGGAUUGUAAAGCACUUUAAGUUGGGAGGAAGGGCAGUAAAUUAAUACUUUGCUGUUUUGACGUUACCGACAGAAUAAGCACCGGCUAACUCUGUGCCAGCAGCCGCGGUAAUACAGAGGGUGCAAGCGUUAAUCGGAAUUACUGGGCGUAAAGCGCGCGUAGGUGGUUCGUUAAGUUGGAUGUGAAAUCCCCGGGCUCAACCUGGGAACUGCAUUCAAAACUGACGAGCUAGAGUAUGGUAGAGGGUGGUGGAAUUUCCUGUGUAGCGGUGAAAUGCGUA
rnacentral:rRNA from 1 species